AUAUAUAUAUAUAUAUAUAUAUAUAUAUAUAUAUAUAUAUAUAUAUAUAUAUAUAUAUAUAUAUAUAUAUAUAUAUAUAUAUAUAUAUAAACAGGCCAUUAUAUAGUUGUUUUUUUUAUAAAAUAAUCUGUUUACUGAAGGUUUCAAUAGAUGGACAAUAUACAUAGAUGCAAUAUACUGGACUGGACUUUAUAAUUUCUUUUUUUAUGGUUCAUAUUCACUUGUUAUUUAAAACUAGCACUUAUAGAUUUUUAUGAAGCCGUCUCUAGUAUUUUGCUUUAGUUGGUCUUUAUUUUGGCCCUGACCAUAGUAAUAGGUUGUGUCUCUGGGUCAGUCAUACAUCUGGUUGAGUUACCAUCAAGAUAAUCAUUAUAAAGGUCAUCGUACUCAGUCAUACAUCUGGUUGAGUUACCAUCAAGAUAAUCAUUAUAAAGGUCAUCGUACUCAGUCAUACAUCUGGUUGAGUUACCAUCAAGAUAAUCAUUAUAAAGGUCAUCGUACUCAGUCAUACAUCUGGUUGAGUUACCAUCAAGAUAAUCAUUAUAAAGGUCAUCGUACUCAGUCAUACAUCUGGUUGAGUUACCAUCAAGAUAAUCAUUAUAAAGGUCAUCGUACUCAGUCAUACAUCUGGUUGAGUUACCAUCAAGAUAAUCAUUAUAAAGGUCAUCAUACUCAGCUAUUAAGUGGUGAUAUUCACAAUUAUGAUAUUGAUGAGAUAAUGUUACCAUGAACAUCCAUUGAAUAUGUUUUCCAUUAUAAGUUGUUGGUUUAAGGAAUGCUAUACAGGUACAUGCAAUUUGGAAAUGCAUAUAUGUAUACAGUAUAGAUAUGAAUAUAAAUUAGUAUUUUUUUUAUUAUAUUGGUUGCUAAUCCUAAAAUAACUAUUAUGAGAGUUUUAAUAAACAUUUAUAUUGUA